rnacentral:lncRNA from 1 species
AGAAAGCCUGAAGGACCAGACCUGUCAUCUGCUCAGAAAUACCAUUUGGUUUUUCAUUUACAGGGACAAACUGUGACAUGAAAUUACUGGGAGACAAAUCCAUAGCUCUGUGGAGGCUCUCCAGUUGCUCACUGCAGGCUCAAAGGACAGAGCAAAGUUUGGGCAACUCGUGUCUUUUCCACAUUUCUUGGGCACAGAGCAAAGGAAUGUGAGGAUUUUGUUUUCUACACAAAUGUGUCAGCCAACAGAGGAGGGAAUGAAUACAGAUUUAAUGGGCUUCUGGUCUAAGCUCAGCACAGCCCCUUCUCCUCCUCUGCUGAUGAACACAACUGAUCUUAGGUUCUCAUAUAUAAAGAGAGAGAAAAAAAAAAAAGUAUAAAGUUGUGGUACCUGGAAUAAUUUUUAAAUUGAUUUCAGUGUCUUACAGCAUCAUGUUUUAAUUUGUUUCUGCUCUUACUUUGAAAUUAAGUGUUAACCAAAUUACUUGUAAAGAGAGUAAAUUUUGACAGAACAUUCCCUUCAAAAUCCAUUGUAAUUCAAUUUGUUUUUCAUGAAGACCAUAAAUUAGUAUUUACUUCAUUUUUGGGAGGAACAAGGAGUAAUGAUGUUAAUAAUCAUCGUGCUUUCCUUCACAUUUUGAAGUGCAAAAAUACACCUAGUACCAGCCACAGAGCAGCAGGAGCUUUAUUCAGAGUUGUGGUGGUGGUGAACCAACUUACGUUUGUUUCUUACAGAUUGCAGGUUGAGCAUUUUUUCCUUCACAGAGCAGCCUGAAACAUUUUUAUUUCAGGUCUAGCAUAGACCACAGACUCUGCUUUACAUUUACAACGUGGUACAAGCAAAUGAUUAGAAGCUGAAGUGGAGAAAGAUCACAGUAAAUUGCUUUUGCCUUUUUAUAUAGUGACCCAUGGCUGUGGUCAGGAGAAAACAAUAUUCUCUAAAGAGAUCUACAGUCUAUUUCUCUGUUUUACAUACUGAAACAGUGCAGAGCACUGUGGGAAUUGUAAAACAAGGCAAUGUGUAGUUAAAGUUAGACAGUGCCAUAAUGUAUAUGCUCAGGUGGUAAUCAUCAAUCUGGCAUUUACUGCUGCCAUGCCUGUGUGGAUUUUCAUUAGGACACAACUGCCCACAGUGUAGCUGGAAACCUGGAUAGCUCUGGCUUGUAUUAAAGGAUAACUCCUGAGAACCUGAGGGAGGUUUUACCGAGAUCAGCUUCUGGCCUUACUCUCCUCUUAGCCCCAGUAAGUCUGACACAUAACAGACACUCCUAUUAUCAGUGUAGGAUAAGAUUUAGGCUUGAUCUCAUUUAAAUUUUAUCAGCAUGGCUGUUGAUCAGCUGUUGUUAUUCACACAUCUCUCCCAGUCCUAGAGUUAUCUCUUUAACUGC